UACGGAGGAUGCGAGCGUUAUCCGGAUUUAUUGGGUUUAAAGGGUGCGUAGGCGGGCUGUUAAGUCAGCGGUCAAAUGUCGGGGCUCAACCCCGGCCUGCCGUUGAAACUGGCGUUCUUGAGUGGGCGAGAAGUACGCGGAAUGCGUGGUGUAGCGGUGAAAUGCAUAGAUAUCACGCAGAACCCCGAUUGCGAAGGCAGCGUACCGGCGCCCAACUGACGCUGAAGCACGAAAGCGUGGGUAUCGAACAGG
rnacentral:rRNA from 1 species